GGAUGCGAUCGUACCAGCACUAAAGCACCGGAUCCCAUCAGAACUCCGAAGUUAAGCGUGCUUGGGCGAGAGUAGUACUAGGAUGGGUGACCUCCUGGGAAGUCCUCGUGUUGCAUUCC
rnacentral:rRNA from 1 species